UGGGGAAUUUUGGACAAUGGGGGAAACCCUGAUCCAGCCAUCCCGCGUGUGCGAUGAAGGCCUUCGGGUUGUAAAGCACUUUUGGCAGGAAAGAAACGUCAUGGGUUAAUACCCCGUGAAACUGACGGUACCUGCAGAAUAAGCACCGGCUAACUACGUGCCAGCAGCCGCGGUAAUACGUAGGGUGCAAGCGUUAAUCGGAAUUACUGGGCGUAAAGCGUGCGCAGGCGGUUCGGAAAGAAAGAUGUGAAAUCCCAGAGCUCAACUUUGGAACUGCAUUUGUAACUACCGGGCUAGAGUGUGUGAGAGGGAGGUGGAAGUCCGCGUGUAGCAGUGAAAUGCGUAGAUAUGCGGAGGAACACCGAUGGCGAAGGCAGCCUCCUGGGAUAACACUGACGCUCAUGCACGAAAGCGUGGGGAGCAAACAGG
rnacentral:rRNA from 1 species